rnacentral:lncRNA from 1 species
CGGAAGACAGACCAUUGCAAAGUCAAUGGAAAGGAACCGUUUGUAGUUACUCAUGGAGGGGACACACCUCCUAUCCAUUAGGUAGUCGCAAAGGUAACCGGACUAUCGUGGUGCACAGCAAGACACAAAGACUUUCAACAUGAGGAACAAAUACGUUAACGUCAGAUUCUUCCGGGGAGAGGGUAAAGGCUGAUGGCUGGUAAGAACUGACCUGAGGGUCCAGCCCAAGGUCUCAGGUAUGCCACUAGAAGCCUGGAGCUGCUCAGCCUUUCAUCUGUCUCUGCCCAACACUGCGUCGAGACCUGGGCAGUGGAGCUCCUGAGGGACAGAGAUGUGUGUUGACGCGCCUUGUAACAUUUGGCUCUCACCUAACAAGAUUCUCAGACGCCUCCAUCCACCCUAUUUUGAUCUCCACAUCCGUCUUUGAUUCACUCACUGCAUUCUGCAGCCUGGAAGCCAAGUUUGGAAAGCAAAGAAGACUAAACUGGACUGGGGACCCCAAGCAAGGAUACAUUUCCCCCUCAGCAACAACCAUGAAGAAAAGGAGAACCCUUUGCCCAGUUGGAGCGACGAGAGAACAGCAAGCAGGCUUAUGGGGGCCGCAGCUCUCAAGAGAAAUGAUAGGGAUAGACCAGAAUACACAUCACAGGGAAGGAUCAGUGAUCGAUAAUCCUAUUCUAAGAAGAGAAGAAAAAUAAAAGGCUCCAAAUACUACAGCCUGUGCACAGAAGCAUCCUGCUACUGUGGUCUUGUAGAAGAGGCUGCAUCCUUACGAGUAAGAAUAGAACUAUAGAAGCAUUGCAAUUGUGAUGAUGCUGAGACUUCUUCGGGUCAACAGUCUUUAUUUUGAAAUAAAAAGGAAAACAAGGUCA